GACGUAGGGCGCGAGCGUUGUCCGGAUUUAUUGGGCGUAAAGAGCUCGUAGGCGGUUCGGUAAGUCGGAUGUGAAAUCUCCACGCUCAACGUGGAGGGGCCAUUCGAUACUGCCGUGACUCGAGUCCGGUAGGGGAGUGUGGAAUUCCCGGUGUAGCGGUGAAAUGCGCAGAGAUCGGGAGGAACACCCGUAGCGAAGGCGGCACUCUGGGCCGGUACUGACGCUGAGGAGCGAAAGCGUGGGGAGCAAACAGG
rnacentral:rRNA from 1 species